CCGCGCACACAUCGACACGACACCCGCGGGCCGGCGGCCGGCGGCAGCCCGCCCCGCCAUCACUCACCGAUCGUACUCGACGCCGACACCACGAUAGCUCGCGCGUCCAUAGCAAUGUAUUUUUUACAAAUUAUUAAAUAGUUGUUAAAAUCCAAGUUGUCGUCUUCAUCAUUUUCCGAAGAACCUGCGCCAACAAGUUCGAGCCGGAUGGAAUCCACGAUCUGAACAAAAGGAGAACAAAGGAAUCCAUGGGCGCGGUCGAAGUUGAACAAAGGAGUCGACAUAUUCUUGGAUUUCGACACGUCUACACCUGAGUCUACACUAUAUACAAGAUUUCAUCGAAAUAUACCAGGAAAAGGGUAACAGUGGCAUUUGUAACCGGCGGGGUCAAAGUCCGCUACCGGCCGCCUGUAUGACGAAUACGCAGAGCGGACUUCCUUCGAGAACCGGUACUUCGGC